UACGUAGGAGGCGAGCGUUGUCCGGAUUUAUUGGGCGUAAAGAGCGUGUAGGCGGCCUGAUAGGUCAGCUGUGAAAACUCGAGGCUUAACCUCGAGACGUCGGUUGAAACCAUCUGGCUAGAGUCCGGAAGAGGAGUGUGGAAUUCCCGGUGUAGCGGUGAAACGCGCAGAUAUCGGGAAGAACACCCGUGGCGAAGACGGCACGCUGGGACGGUACUGACGCUGAGACGCGAAAGCGUGGGGAGCGAACAGG
rnacentral:rRNA from 1 species